GACGAACGCUGGCGGCGUGCUUAACACAUGCAAGUCGAACGCUGAAGCCUAGCUUGCUGGGUGGAUGAGUGGCGAACGGGUGAGUAACACGUGAGUAACCUGCCCCCUUCUUUGGGAUAACGCCCGGAAACGGGUGCUAAUACUGAAUAUUCACUGGUCUUCGCAUGGGGGUUGGUGGAAAGGUUUUUUCUGGUGGGGGAUGGGCUCGCGGCCUAUCAGCUUGUUGGUGGGGUGAUGGCCUACCAAGGCUUUGACGGGUAGCCGGCCUGAGAGGGUGACCGGUCACAUUGGGACUGAGAUACGGCCCAGACUCCCACGGGAGGCAGCAGUGGGGAAUAUUGCACAAUGGGCGAAAGCCUGAUGCAGCGACGCCGCGUGAGGGAUGGAGGCCUUCGGGUUGUAAACCUCUUUCGCUCAUGGUCAAGCCGCAACUUGGGGUUGUGGUGAGGGUAGUGGGUAAAGAAGCGCCGGCUAACUACGUGCCAGCAGCCGCGGUAAUACGUAGGGCGCGAGCGUUGUCCGGAAUUAUUGGGCGUAAAGGGCUUGUAGGCGGUUGGUCGCGUCUGCCGUGAAAUCCUCUGGCUUAACUGGGGGCGUGCGGUGGGUACGGGCUGACUUGGGUGCGGUAGGGGAGACUGGAACUCCUGGUGUAGCGGUGGAAUGCGCAGAUAUCAGGAAGAACACCGGUGGCGAAGGCGGGUCUCUGGGCCGUUACUGACGCUGAGGAGCGAAAGCGUGGGGAGCGAACAGG
rnacentral:rRNA from 1 species